UUGGAGGGCAAGUCUGGUGCCAGCAGCCGCGGUAAUUCCAGCUCCAAUAGCGUAUAUUAAAGUUGUUGCAGUUAAUAAGCUCGUAGUUGAAUUUCGGGAUCAAUUUAUUGGUCGUGCUAUUGUACGUACUGGUAUUAUUGAUUCCUACCUUCUGACGAACCACGAUGUCAUUAAUUUAGUGUCAUGGGGAAUCAGGACUGUUACUUUGAAAAAAUUAGAGUGUUUAAAGCAGGCUCACGCUUGAAUACAUUAGCAUGGAAUAACGAAAUAGGACGUUUGAUUCUAUUUUGUUGGUUUCUAGGAUCGACGUAAUGAUUAAUAGGGAUAGUUGGGGGCAUUAGUAUUCAAUUGUCAGAGGUGAAAUUCUUGGAUUUAUUGAAGACUAACUACUGCGAAAGCAUUUGCCAAGGAUGUUUUCAUUAAUCAAGAACGAAAGUUAGGGGAUCGAAGACGAUCAGAUACCGUCGUAGUCUUAACCAUAAGCUAUGCCGACUAGGGAUCGGAUGAUGUUAAUUUUUUAAUGACUCAUUCGGCGCCUUACGGGAAAC
rnacentral:rRNA from 1 species